CCUACGGGAGGCAGCAGUGAGGAAUAUUGGGCAAUGGACGCAAGUCUGAACCAGCCAUGCCGCGUGCAGGAAGACGGCCCUAUGAGUUGUAAACUGCUUUUGUACGAGGGUACACGCAGUUUCGUGUAUCUGUCUGAAAGUAUCGUACGUGUAAGGGUCGGCUAACUCCGUGCCAGCAGCCGAGGUAAUACGGAGGGUUCAAGCAUUAUCCGGAUUUAUUGGGUUUAAAGGUUGCCUAGGCGGUCGGAUAAGUAAGAGGUGAACUCCCGAGGCUCAACGUCGGAAUUGCCUCUGAUACUGUUAGGCUAGAGAGUAGUUGCGGUAGGCGGAAUGUAUGGUGUAGCGGUGAAAUGCUUAGAGAUCAUACAGAACACCGAUGGCGAAGGCAGCUUACCAAGCUACUUCUGACGUUGAGGCACGAAAGCGUGGGGAGCAAACAGGAUUAGAUACCCCUGUAGUC
rnacentral:rRNA from 1 species